AGCCUCUUGCUCCGUGUUGUUCAAUGACCUUAGGAAAGGCUGCAUUAUUCAUACGCCUGCCGUCGGAGGAUGAAGGCUCCUACUUUGCCAACAGGGAGGGUGUAACAGACAGGGACACUGAUGUGUCAACCAAGACUCCAGGAUGCAGUGGAUAUAAAGGUCCGCAAGCCAUAUCAGCACAUGAGCAUUUUGUAGAAAAUGGUCUAAGAACCAUUUCCACAAUUCCUGGACCCCUCAGCCAUUCAAGGCUUGAAAAAGAGAGUGUGAAGGGGGGAGAGUUAGGUGAGAGAUUUUCUUUGGAGAGAGCUGUUGCCCCACUGUGACCAGUCUUACCUUUGAAUGAAGAUGAAACAACUCUCUGCACCUGUUCCUGCAGCUCCAGACUUGAAAUGGGCCUUCCCCUUUCCCUGACUAACUCCUUGUCCUUCACCUCGAAGACUGUAUCUUCUCCAGAGAGCCUUUCUUCCCUGACCACCAUCACCCAGUUGUGGACUCCCACAUCGUGAUUGCUUGUGGCAGGCGCCAGCCAGCUGGAGCAUGAGUUGGAUUCUGUGCCUGCCCCUCACCCUCUGCCUGAUAGCACAGACAGCCCUGGGUGCCUUGCACACCAAGGAGCCUCUAGUGGUUACCAAAUAUGGGACCCUCCAAGAAAGCAGAUACACGUGGGGAAGACACCCAUCAAUGCCUUCCUAGGAGUUCCCUUCUACAGACCUCCUGUGGGUGCCUGCAGGCUGUAAGAGGCCUGGCUUUCCUGCUGGGAUGCUGCAUGUGAUUUAUUGGACAACAACCUAACAACAACAUCAGCUGCUGCCGAGAAGUCAAGCAAGGAAGGCCAAAGACAAUCUGUAGAGACAGAGACAAGCUGCCUGCUGGUGACCUUGGAGAGGCUGGUGGGGGUGGAGGGAAGGACAGCUUGUUGAAACAUUUGGCCUUGAGGGGAAGAGAGAGCGUAGUUGCUGGAGAAGGUGGCUGGUAGAGGAUAGGUUUGGAUCAAGGUAUGUUGAAGUGCUGUUGGGAAGGACUGAAAGGGAGCAGGUGAUGCUCUAGGGUUAGGGAGGUGGGAGUGAAUUACACCUACGUACACACCCACAUACACACACUGAAGACAGGUUGGGACAAGAGAAAGGAACCGAGGAAUAGGUAGACAGGGAUUCCUGCAUUCAGUCAAAUGUUAUAAGAAUAGCCACCCUCAGGCCUGGGCCAGGAGGGAGAAAAGGCAAGGUGGACCAAUAGCCCAAGCUCCAUAAGUAUACCAGAUGUCCACACAGUGCAAGGCACAGGGCCAAGCGCCAGGAAUCAGAUGAAUACACCUACAUCCCUGCCCUUUGGGAGUAAAAACAACCAAAACAGCCAAUCAAAAUAACUCCAAGCCAGUAUUGUAGUCAAUGGUGGAUAGAGCUUUGGGAAGCACAGGGGGGAAAGUGCCCAGCAGAGGGGGCACCACUUAAGCUGGACCUUAAGUGUGAGUAGGAGUUUGCUGGGCAGAGGAGAAGGCAUUUGGUAGACAGAACAGAAGUACAGGGGCUUGCAGGUGAGAGGCAAGGGGUCAUGUGUAUUUGGAACAGAGAAUGGCUGGGAAGGAGAUGACUAGAUGGA